GAAAUUAAUGGCCCUGACCAGCCUCACCUGGGGUCUCCACCCACACCCCUGGCUUGCCAUCAGCUCUGUCUUUUCUCCACAGGGGUGCCUGAGGGCUGGGGUUGCUUUCAGGGCCUGCUCUGCUCCCUGCCUGGCCAGGCUGUGCCCUGACAGCCCUGGGGAGCUCCUGGCUCCCUGACCUGUGAGGACAAGUGGCUGUGAGUGCCAGGGCCACACGUGAACCUGCUGGAACACACCGAUGAGUUUAGCUGCCUCCUCUUCAUCCUGGACGUGAUACGGUGCCUUGAAGCCGCUCUGGCGUGAGAAGAAGGCUGGGAACUCCCUCGACUCCCCAAAGGCAGCCACACAGACUCCCUGAGUCUCCUGCAGCCGGGAGCAGCCCGUGAUACCUACCAGAUAUUCCAGUGUCCUGCCAAUAUCAAGGAUAGACUUGACUCCUGCAGAUACAACAGCAACUGGAGUUCGUCCUAGCUCUGUCAAGUCAGCACUCACAUCCAGAGCUGUCAAGAGAGAAGCAGCUGUUGUUUGUGAUAGCGUUGUACACCAAGGUGACCUUAAAUGCCCUCUUAAAAAGCUGUAUCUGCCUGGGAUGCCAGGGCCUGCUUUUGCAACCAUUUUGAUCCACAGACAAACAUUACAGGUUUAGAUCAUGCUAUUAGAUGUUGCGAUUGUAAGAGAGAUUGAUAUAGGAAGAGAGACUGAAAACUAUGAAGUCACUUGGCCUAGGGCAGAGAUGCAGCCCUACACUGACUGUCUCACCUGUUUGUUCACCUCAGAAAGCAGCAUGCAAAAAUUUGGUUGAAAAGAAAGAAGAAGGUGUCAUAAAACAAGGACAGAGUUCAAGAAGAUGGAAUAUAAGAAGACUUUGAUUGUGGUGUUGACAUAGCUGGCAGAAAAGCACCACAGGAGCUCUGCUGACCUCAGGAAACCCCCUGGUCUGGAAUUUAUAUCACAUCUGAAAGAGACAGCAUUCAUCAGGGCGGUUUGCUUACACUAUGCUAGGAAUAUACAUGGCUAAAAAGAAAGUAUGUGCUUAGAGGUCACAAACUACGCUGCCAAGGCUGUGCCAUGUCCCCAUGUUUCCAGAGAGGAACGUGGACCAUGGCCUAAAUCUCUUUUGCGGUGAGACCCUCCUCCUCCUUAGCUGUCAGCAAGCCAAUAACAGCACCGUGCUUCACAGCCACUGUCAGGUUAUCCAGCGAGCACGAAGUGGGGAAAGUACAGUCAGCUCCUGCUGCACCAUCAAAUAAUAUCCAUAUAACCCUGUGCAAACAAAGGAUAAAGAGAAACUCCCCCACUCUUAUCUGGCCGGUGCUCAAGAGGAAUAUUUUGAAGCUUCUGGAAAGGAGAUACUGGAGAGAAAACAACCAGAGUAUGGUUGAGAAGAACAAUAACGUUACUCUGCUGAGCAGACAGUUACUGUAGGACAAACCGAGAAAAAGGAAGAAAGAUGGGAUUAGAUAAAACCACAGCAACAAGAAAAGUAGAAUGUAUCGACUUUCUUACUGUUCUCUCCUCCCCGAUGGACGCCUCCGAUGCCUCCUGUCACAAACACACAGAUUCCUGCCUUGUGUGCUGCAAUCAUUGUUCCAGACACGGUAGUGCCACCGGACAAGCCCUGUCAGGGGACAACCGGUCACAGUCAGCACCCAGCACGACCCAGAGAACACCGCAUGCAGGCAGCUGUGGUGGUGGUCUGACACACAGCAACAUCACACCAGGCUGCUGACACAGCUGGCAGGUGAAAUUCGGAUACAGAUAUUCCUAGGCAAAAAUGCAGAAGAAUGAUCAUCCCUGCUAUAUAAACUGCUCUUGUAAUAGCAAAGGCCUUCAUUCUCCAGGGCUCUCCAACCAGAAGGGUUCAUGGGCAGCCAGUGUCACCUCAAGCACUAACUUGGGGUGGCUUGUGUAUGAACUAUGUGACAUGAUGAUACCUUAUCCUGCCAAUAUGAAUGUUCUUAGCUUAGCCAGCCAAUCCAGAAUGGUCUGACUCCAGGUCUGCUAUUCCCUGACUAAUGUAUUUUGACUCUGGAUAGGAAUAUAUUUCAACUUACCAACAAGACACCAUGUUAUGUGGUGUCUUAAAGAGGUUUAGAGCUACCUGGUUUGAAACUGAAGAGCACCCUAUUGCUAUAAAGAAAACAUCAAAUAGGAAGCCUGCAUUACCAUACCUGGCUGAGGACAUAAGGAAGAUCUCUCCGAGACACUUUAACUACAUUUUUACUGCUUGCCAAGAACUGAAGCUCCUCAUCUGUGAGUCCCACGUGGAUUUGACCCCUUAAAAUACCUAUAGUGGCUGGAACUGCUCCAUUUGUCGUUACAAUUUUUUCUACCUCUCUGGCCAUGCUAGAAUAAGAUAGACAAGACAACGAUCACAGAAUUAGUGAGAAAAAUAAUCAGUUGAGAAAUCUGCAAUGUUUGAUGGCCAACAUUCCCAAUUUCCAGUUUUAUACAGUCUUUGGGAUUUCAGCAAAGUCCAGAUCCUCUUCUGUCUCUUGCUAAUGGCAGAAGUCUUAGCUCUGCACUGUAAAAUCAAUGCAAUCGAGAGCUCCUGUUUUCAGGACAGCAAUGUACAGGCUCUGUGCUUCAUUUCUGAGGCAGCAUCCAUAAAAUAGCCUGGUUUACGAGCAAACCUAUUAUUUGUACAAUACGCUACUGAAUAUUCUCCAAAUAGAGCCUUUCAGUAUCUAUUACUUGUAUUUCUGAGAACAUAAACCUUCAUAGAAACCUGAGAUACUUCAAGUCCUAUUCGAACAACCAGGCUGUAUUUUUCACAAUCUGAGCAGUCAGAUAUAAGGUAACAACAGUGCAGAAAAGCUGCAGCCUGAGAAUAUUCUAGAGUUUCAGACUAGGUUUUUUGAAGCUUUCCAGGUUUUAUAUUUGAUCAUCUGUAGACUACUGUCUUCUUUUAAGAGCAGCUUGUUUUCCCUUUCUGAGCUAUCUUUACAUACACUAGAUAAUCUUUAACUCUGAAACUACCUUCUCCAAAACCUUACUGAGCUUCCUUGUAAGAUGAAAUGCCAGGCAAACCAAUGGCAAGGUCAAUACUGAAACCUUCCUGUGCUUUCAGGAAGCUAGGAUGGAGAGGAGACUGAACGAAACACAAAUCUACAGGAUAUCAAUAAAUAACAGGUAGAGUUUUUUGUGGGCUUUUUUUUUUUUCCUUAUGCAGGGCAUAGGUUGACCAGUAGCUCUUGCAGCAGCUGCUCUGAGUGGCACCAAUGAGUAGAUUUCACUAUUGUGUUCUAGUCGUUUUUGUAUUAUAAAAGGUACACCUAAAGAAACCACAAAGUGUUUUCAGUGUCUAUACGAAAUAUGCAGCCACAAAGUGUGGUUUAUCAGUCUUAGAGCAAAUGAUGAUAUUUCCUGCUGCCAGAUUUUAAAGGAAGCCAGAAAUGUGAGGUGUUGAGUAAGGACGUGUGUUGUAUGGUUCUGCUCUCCUUAGAAGUCCAAAUACAACUGUUUUACACCAGAGCCCAUAUUCUGUAUCCCUAGCAACCUGACAUUUCCCUUCGGUUCCUUCUUAUAACUUCGUUGAGUGAGGAACAUAAAAUCCACAACCUCAGAUUCUGAGGAUAGGCCAUGCCAUGUGUAAUGAUGGUGCUUUCCAAGGCUACAACUGGUCUCCCCUCCAUCAGGGCUUCCUGUACGGAGGGCUGAAUCCUGAAAUAAGCACCUGGGGAUAAAUAUAGACAAGUCAGUUAUUUGCAUGGGUGUUUGCAGUAAACACUGAGCUAUUUUAUAAAGGCAAAUUGUCAUCAUCACGAUACAUUUAUUAUCCUUUUCAGCUAAUCUUUGGGGGAAUUCAGAAAUGACUCCAUGGAGACUAAAACUGCGUUUUAUGUGACUGCAAUAUUUGCAAAAACCAACCAAACAAAAAACAACGCUACGAUUAAUACAAAUAAUAAUCCUCAUCACCAUCACUCAGUGUUCCUCUCCCACCACUAUUGCAGCUGUGUUGUUAUUGGCUCCAGUAAUAUUACUUGAAAUGAACAUUACUGUGAAUGAACUAAGCUCUGCAAUAAUCAUACCCAAAGAAUAACGUGUUAAUGGAGUGGAAGCACCAAGGAUACCAUAAUAACCCAAUAUAUUAUAACACUAUUUUGCAUCAAAAUUUCUCCUAAUUUUAAUGUCUUUAUCAAACAACAGAAACUCCCUGUGCAUUUAGGACUUGAAGUAUCCUUCCAAAAGCUGAAAAUGCUGCUCUUUGCUUUUCUCCCACAAUGUUGCCAGCAAGGUUUCUGCUGCAUUCGGAUGAGGAAGGUGCUUUCUGCCCAGGGACUGUUUCAGAACACACUACUCACCAUGCAGAAAUCUUCUCACCUGGGUGGUCCUACAUGCCACAGUGGACACACAUUUUCCCAAUCUACAGGUUAUCUUUGUAAUCAUCUUGUGUGUAAGGAUGGUCCUGAGAGUAUAAAAGUCAGGUUAAAAAAUAAAAAAUAAAGAAGUAAUUAAGCAAUGGUGUGACAGUUUACCUAACAUUUCUUGCACUGAUUUUGGAAAGUGAACAAUCCUGGGCUUGCCCAGGAGAUUGUGUGGCGGUUCCUGGUGUUUCAAGCAUGAGCCCUGGUGUCAAAGCAAAAUGUUAAACUGUAGAAGUAGAGUUGUAGGAGUCCAUCUAGCCCAUUGCCAAUGCUAGGCUGAAAACAUGGCAGAGCAGAAGAAAGAAUAAGUAGUAACAAAUUGGAGAGACUUUAGAAGUAUGUAACAUUUUGAUUUCCAAAGCUACUUGUUCACAAUAAAUUGCAGGCUCAGCCACUGUCACCUUCAGCCUGAAAGAUUACAAGGAGAAACCUACAAGGAAAAUGCAGGCAGAAGAAUACUAUAAAGAGAAGAGCCUUUGCGAGUAUUUUGAGGGAAACAAGCAGUUCAGUAAAAUAAAGAAGCUAAGGACUGGAAAGCCAGAUUGUAACCACCAGGAGGAAAGAGCAGCUCUUCCCAGAGCCCAGAGUGCUUCAUGCAUGCUCAAGUUACAUCGUCUUUUUUAGUACAAAGUGUUGGAAGCAGAGACACAAUUCAGCCCCGGCAAGAACUCCAGAACUCCUCUUGUCUCUUAGCAACUCCUAUUCACUUUAAUUAAAUUCAUUGCAGAACAGAGAAAGAGGGGGAGAGAGUUGCAAAGGUUAAGAGGCUGGUCUGGUCUGGGCCUCAGGGCAGUUUCACUCAGUUCCUGGCUGCUUCACAUAUUUUUGCUGGGCAUUUGGCCAUAUCCCUCAAGCCUUUCUAUUUCUCACCCCUUAACUGGGAGGAAAAGAUUUAUCUCUUCGGUCCUUUGUGCCUAUUGUUAAUUCAGAUAGGAAAUUAGAGUAACAGUACUGCAUUCUUGCUACAUUUAGCAGAUAUCAGUGCAAUUUGUAGCACUACAGCUACACAGACACAUUAUAUCUGGGAAAAGUUUUUUUUUUUUUUCUUUUUUUUUUUUUUCUUUUUUUCUGUUCCUGGAAUCUGAAGACUUAGCCUAUAUAGGACAGUUUAGUCUGUGUAACAGGGAAAGAUAGACUGGUUCUGCUAGACCUCUAUUAAGCCACUGAGACAGAGAUUGCCAUGAAAUGCAAUACACACCUGAAUGAAACAAGGAGAUUUUUUUUUUCCAGUUUCCAAAUCCUUUUUAAGACCAAAAUCUCCACAAAGUUUACGAAAUCCUAUCAUGACACAAAGGUGGCAGAAGCUCCUAUUCAUGCUUACAAUCUCUCCUUGUGCAGUGCCAAAUUCAGCAGUCAACAGCCUGAAAAGUUCAUGCAAAUGCUCUGGGUUCCUUCUGUGUGUGCCUACACACCCCUUGCUCUCUGGGGCAAAGUCAGCUUUGGAAUAAAUUCAUUAAGCCAACAAGGUUACUACGGCUCGGAUCGGUUGGGCUGCUCGAGCUGUGCUCUGAAUUUUAACAACCCCCCGUAAUCUGAAGCACAACAGCCCGAAUGCCCAAGCCGAGGCGGCCUGCGGAUAAAACACAGCUGGUCACCACCUGACACUGACAUGAGUUCGCUGAUGUUCGCCAGAAAGUCAGCCAGCACUCGGCCCCAGCAGCCUGAAAGGUUUCUGCAGCUUGGCAAGCGGAGCAGCGAGACCUGCCCGGCCUUUCGCCUUGCAACAAAACUUUGCACGUUCCCGCUGCAAGUUCUGCACAGCUCUGGCACUCAGCUCGCCUC